UUACUUACCUGGUAGGGUCAAUGAGUGAUCAAGAAGGUCCAUGACCUAGGUUGGUGAUCUCCUCUGCACUUGAGAGAGUUACCAAUCUAAGAUUGGCUCAAGUGGUCGAGUCUAUGGCAUAAUAAC
rnacentral:snRNA from 1 species